AUCCCCACCAGAGGCGUGCUGAAGCCAGAGACGCGUCAGGCUGAUCCACGCGCGCGCGCUUCGGACCGUCGUGGUUGAACGUCUGACAAAACUCCGUGAGCUAUGGGAGGAAAACUGAAGAUUCACAUCGUCUACUGCGGCGCAUGAGGGUACGCCCCCAAGUUCCGCAAAAUAAAAGCGGAACUGGAGCAGGCCUUCCCUGGUGAUCUCGACAUCACCGGGGAGGGCACCCCCAGCGUCACCGGCUACCUGGAGGUGCAGAUCGUUGGCGGCAAGCUGCUGCACUCCAAGAAGAACGGCGAUGGGUACGUGGACACGCCGCAGAAGAUGAACCGCAUCAUCGAGGGCGUCCGGGCUGCCCUGGCCAAGUGAGGGGUCACUCCUCAGACCUCAGGUGACGCCCCGGAAGUGCACGGGCCACCUCGAUUGGUCGUGACGUCAGCGUCACCAUGACGCCCGCCACCGAAAGCUCAGCUGGCGACGGGCCGAAGCUAGGCGAUGACGUCACGGUCGGGCCGAGACGGCCGUGCGCGGCCGGGGCGCGCGCCAAGACUCGCCUUCAGCCUCUGCCUGAAAUCCAUCUCGGGGACGCUACUUACAGUUCUGCGCGUGUGCUCGUUUGUUCCGUCCAUAUGACGUGUGGCGUCGGCCUUGGUCACCCAAAUUCGAAUAGUGAUAGGCUUCCACAUACAUGUUCCGCUCGUGAAUCAAUGGCAAUACAGAGGCGGGGUGGUUGGAGGUUC